CCUGCUCAGGACGAAACGCUGGGCGGCGUGCCUAAUACAUGCAAGUCGAGCGGACAUUUAAGAAGCUUGCUCCUUGAACCUUAGCGGCGGACGGGUGAGUAACACGUGGGCAACCUGCCCCUUAGACUGGGAUAACUCCGGGAAACCGGAGCUAAUACCGGAUAAUCCCUUUCUCCACCUGGAGAGAGGGUGAAAGAUGGCUUCGGCUAUCACUAAGGGAUGGGCCCGCGGCGCAUUAGCUAGUUGGUAAGGUAACGGCUUACCAAGGCAACGAUGCGUAGCCGACCUGAGAGGGUGAUCGGCCACACUGGGACUGAGACACGGCCCAGACUCCUACGGGAGGCAGCAGUAGGGAAUCUUCCGCAAUGGACGAAAGUCUGACGGAGCAACGCCGCGUGAGUGAGGAAGGCCUUCGGGUCGUAAAGCUCUGUUGUGAGGGAAGAAGCGGUACCGUUCGAAUAGGGCGGACCUUGACGUACCUCACCAGAAGCACGC
rnacentral:rRNA from 1 species